AGAGUUUGAUCAUGGCUCAGAUUGAACGCUGGCGGCAGGCCUAACACAUGCAAGUCGAGCGGUAGCACAGAGAGCUUGCUCUCGGGUGACGAGCGGCGGACGGGUGAGUAAUGUCUGGGAAACUGCCUGAUGGAGGGGGAUAACUACUGGAAACGGUAGCUAAUACCGCAUAAUGUCGCAAGACCAAAGUGGGGGACCUUCGGGCCUCAUGCCAUCAGAUGUGCCCAGAUGGGAUUAGCUAGUAGGUGGGGUAACGGCUCACCUAGGCGACGAUCCCUAGCUGGUCUGAGAGGAUGACCAGCCACACUGGAACUGAGACACGGUCCAGACUCCUACGGGAGGCAGCAGUGGGGAAUAUUGCACAAUGGGCGCAAGCCUGAUGCAGCCAUGCCGCGUGUGUGAAGAAGGCCUUCGGGUUGUAAAGCACUUUCAGCGGGGAGGAAGGCGUUAAGGUUAAUAACCUUAUCGAUUGACGUUACCCGCAGAAGAAGCACCGGCUAACUCCGUGCCAGCAGCCGCGGUAAUACGGAGGGUGCAAGCGUUAAUCGGAAUUACUGGGCGUAAAGCGCACGCAGGCGGUCUGUCAAGUCGGAUGUGAAAUCCCCGGGCUCAACCUGGGAACUGCAUUCGAAACUGGCAGGCUAGAGUCUUGUAGAGGGGGGUAGAAUUCCAGGUGUAGCGGUGAAAUGCGUAGAGAUCUGGAGGAAUACCGGUGGCGAAGGCGGCCCCCUGGACAAAGACUGACGCUCAGGUGCGAAAGCGUGGGGAGCAAACAGGAUUAGAUACCCUGGUAGUCCACGCCGUAAACGAUGUCGAUUUGGAGGUUGUGCCCUUGAGGCGUGGCUUCCGGAGCUAACGCGUUAAAUCGACCGCCUGGGGAGUACGGCCGCAAGGUUAAAACUCAAAUGAAUUGACGGGGGCCCGCACAAGCGGUGGAGCAUGUGGUUUAAUUCGAUGCAACGCGAAGAACCUUACCUGGUCUUGACAUCCACAGAACUUUCCAGAGAUGGAUUGGUGCCUUCGGGAACUGUGAGACAGGUGCUGCAUGGCUGUCGUCAGCUCGUGUUGUGAAAUGUUGGGUUAAGUCCCGCAACGAGCGCAACCCUUAUCCUUUGUUGCCAGCGGUCCGGCCGGGAACUCAAAGGAGACUGCCAGUGAUAAACUGGAGGAAGGUGGGGAUGACGUCAAGUCAUCAUGGCCCUUACGACCAGGGCUACACACGUGCUACAAUGGCAUAUACAAAGAGAAGCGACCUCGCGAGAGCAAGCGGACCUCAUAAAGUAUGUCGUAGUCCGGAUUGGAGUCUGCAACUCGACUCCAUGAAGUCGGAAUCGCUAGUAAUCGUAGAUCAGAAUGCUACGGUGAAUACGUUCCCGGGCCUUGUACACACCGCCCGUCACACCAUGGGAGUGGGUUGCAAAAGAAGUAGGUAGCUUAACCUUCGGGAGGGCGCUUACCACUUUGUGAUUCAUGACUGGGGUGAAGUCGUAACAAGGUAACCGUAGGGGAACCUGCGGUUG
rnacentral:rRNA from 1 species